rnacentral:rRNA from 1 species
CCUACGGGAGGCAGCAGUGGGGAAUAUUGGGCAAUGGAGGAAACUCUGACCCAGCGACGCCGCGUGCGGGAUGAAGGCCUUCGGGUUGUAAACCGCUUUCAGUAGGGAAGAAGCGAAAGUGACGGUACCUACAGAAGAAGCACCGGCUAACUAUGUGCCAGCAGCCGCGGUAAUACAUAGGGUGCAAGCGUUGUCCGGAAUUAUUGGGCGUAAAGAGCUCGUAGGUGGUUCGUCACGUCGGAUGUGAAAAUCUGGGGCUCAACCCCAGACCUGCAUUCGAUACGGGCGAUCUAGAGUGUGGUAGGGGAGACUGGAAUUCCUGGUGUAGCGGUGGAAUGCGCAGAUAUCAGGAGGAACACCAAUGGCGAAGGCAGGUCUCUGGGCCAUUACUGACACUGAGGAGCGAAAGCGUGGGGAGCGAACAGGAUUAGAUACCCUGGUAGUCCACGCCGUAAACGGUGGGCACUAGUUGUGGGAACCUUCCACGGUUUCUGCGACGCAGCUAACGCAUUAAGUGCCCCGCCUGGGGAGUACGAUCGCAAGNUUAAAACUUAAGGAAUUGACGGNNGAGAGNGCGAGACGACGACGAGGAGAG